AUUGAACGCUGGCGGCAUGCCUUACACAUGCAAGUCGAACGGCAGCACGGGUGCUUGCACCUGGUGGCGAGUGGCGAACGGGUGAGUAAUACAUCGGAACGUACCUAUCGUGGGGGAUAACGCAGCGAAAGCUGUGCUAAUACCGCAUACGCCCUGAGGGGGAAAGCGGGGGAUCGCAAGACCUCGCGCGAUUAGAGCGGCCGAUGCCUGAUUAGCUUGUUGGUGGGGUAAAAGCCCACCAAGGCGACGAUCAGUAGCUGGUCUGAGAGGACGAUCAGCCACACUGGGACUGAGACACGGCCCAGACUCCUACGGGAGGCAGCAGUGGGGAAUUUUGGACAAUGGGGGCGACCCUGAUCCAGCAAUGCCGCGUGAGUGAAGAAGGCCUUCGGGUUGUAAAGCUCUUUUGUCAGGGAAGAAACACCGGCUCUAACACAGUCCGGGAAUGACGGUACCUGAAGAAUAAGCACCGGCUAACUACGUGCCAGCAGCCGCGGUAA
rnacentral:rRNA from 1 species